UACGUAGGGUGCAAGCGUUGUCCGGAAUUAUUGGGCGUAAAGAGCUCGUAGGCGGUCUGUUGCGUCGGCUGUGAAAACCCGAGGCUCAACCUCGGGCCUGCAGCCGAUACGGGCAGACUAGAGUUCGGUAGGGGAGACUGGAAUUCCUGGUGUAGCGGUGAAAUGCGCAGAUAUCAGGAGGAACACCGAUGGCGAAGGCAGGUCUCUGGGCCGAUACUGACGCUGAGGAGCGAAAGCGUGGGGAGCGAACAGG
rnacentral:rRNA from 1 species